UACAGAGGGUGCAAGCGUUAAUCGGAAUUACUGGGCGUAAAGCGCACGUAGGCGGUUCGUUAAGUCGGAUGUGAAAGCCCUCGGCUCAACUGAGGAAGUGCACCCGAAACUGGCGAGCUUGAGUACGAAAGAGGAUCGCGGAAUUCCCGGUGUAGAGGUGAAAUUCGUAGAUAUCAGGAGGAACACCGGUGGCGAAGGCGGGUCUCGUGGGCAGUGAACUGACGUGAGGCGCGAAAGCGUGGGGAGCAAACAGG
rnacentral:rRNA from 1 species